CCCUGAAAGAUGAUCAGGUUGAUAGGUUCGAGGUGGAAGCGUGGUGACAUGUGGAGCUGACGAAUACUAAUAGAUCGAGGACUUAACCAUAUAA
rnacentral:rRNA from 1 species